UAAAGUUUGUGUAACUGAUGUAGAGAAGAUGGACAACAGGUGCCUCCAUAUGUGAAUGAUACCUAGGCAAGAACUCAGCCUAUCUUGUGUGUCUUCCAGCCCAGAUUUCAGAACCAAAGCUCAUCACAAGGAAGCAACCUGCAAACCCAACAUUUUCUAAGAUAGAGUGGAUAGAGUUUUGAAAGAAGGUGAACAUUCUGCAUGUCAAGAUCUACUUUAAAUACUUUUCUGAAUAAAUAGAUUGAUGGAAAAAUUCACAGCAGGAGAUGGAUAUUUAAACGUGGAACAGAGAGAUGCAGGGAUGCAGGAGUCAUCUGUGCUUGGAAGUUUAUUGCUGUUCUGAUGUUGAAGGAUACUAUGCCAAGUGACCACACAGAGGGCAUGGUGUACUGCCCUUGUCUAGGUCAUGCUUAACUUUGCCUGGGUCUUCACUACUUUGAAUGCCUUUUCCCACAUUUUCACCAAUAAAAUGACUCCUUCCAUGAAAAAUUUUAAGUUGAUGAAGAAGUUUAGGGGCUCCCAUUAUAACUGUUGCACACAUAUAGUUUAUCCUUUAUCCGUUUUAGACUAAUGUUUGACCUGCGUGUCAUCUGCUCCUUUUAGAUAGUAAGUUUCUUGAAAGCUGGAACUCGACUUUUUCAGCUACUACGGUUUGAGUGUUUUUGUGUCCUCCAAAAUUCAUGUUGAAAGUUAAUCCACAAUGUGAUACUAUUAAGAGGUUGGGCCUUUAGAGGUGAUGAGGUCAUGAAGGCUCUGCCCUUACAAAUGGGAUUAGUGCCCUUAUAAAAGGGCUUGAGGGAGUCUCCUUGGACCAUUCUGCCCUUCUUACAUUUAAGAACGCAGUGUUCCUCUCUUCUUGGAUAUGAGAAUAUAGAAAGAAGGCACCAUCUUGGAAGCAGAGAGUGAGAUCCCAUCAGACACUGAAUCUACUUGCACCUGGAGCUUGGACUUCAAAACCCCUAGAACUAUGGGAAACAAAUUUCUAUUAUUUAUAGAUAAGGUAUUUUGUCUAAGGUAUUUUGUUAUAGCAGCUGAAACAGACUGAUACCCUAACUUUGAAUAUUUUACAUUAUUAUGCAUGGUAUAUUGCAAAGUAUAUUGCAUGAUUUUAUAUAUAUAUAUAUGUAUGUUAUAGUAUAUAGUAAUAUAGUAGGUUUGUGUUCUGUCUUCUGUACAGGAAUUUAUAUAACUCAUCUAUAUAGAGUUCUUGGCACGUAAAAAACCCUCAGUGAUGAUUUACAAUUGGAUUAAAUAACGCCAUCAGUGCUCAGGAAGUGGCCCAACCAUUUCUAGGCAUUCUAUGAAGAAGAAACUCAUGAAUAAUUGAGGGAAUGAAAGAAAGAAUGUUUUCUCCUUUCAGAAAUUCUCAAACACACUAGUGUGUUCUGAGAAAUCAAAAUUUGCAUCUAAUUUACAAA